AGCAGCGUGGCUUAGUGGAAAGAGCACGGGCCUAAGAGUCAGAGGACCUGGGUUCUAAUCCUAGCUCUGCCA
rnacentral:tRNA from 1 species